GGGCGCAGAAGACUGAACAGUGGAAGCCGGGGGAUGAGAAGAACCCCACCGUGUGGAGCGAGUGGAAGACGCGCGUGCGCAAUGCCCUGCACAGGCUGAAGGAUUUCGAGGAACAGACCGACCUGGGAAAACCGAACGAUCUGCAGGAGCCCUUCCGAGUCUACAAACUCGUGCCGCCACCAAAGGAACUGGCAUGGGACCAAGCAGACGGCAUAGGUCUGUCCAACGAGGCGACAGAGGAGUUUUUAAAUGAUCUGGACUCUCUUCUGUCGA